rnacentral:rRNA from 1 species
UCAGCAGUCCAAAAUAUUAGUCAAUGCUCGAAAGAGUGAACUAGCUAACUGAAAUCAAUAAUAGAAAUUGAUAACAUAAGGGAAAAUAAUGAUAUUACCUUAUUAUUAGUGUCGUCCAAAACUGGUGCCAGAAGACUCGGUAAGGCCAGAGACACAAACGUUAAUCGUCUUAAUCAGGCGUAAAGGGUUUGUAGGCGGCUUUAAAAUUUACUUAUAAAAAUAAAUAAUAAGUAAAGAAUAAAAGCUAGAAUCAAAUAGAGGAUAUAUGAAAGAAUGCUUAGAGUAGGUCUGAUAUCCUUAGAUACUAAGUAGAAUAUUAAAGGCGAAAGCUUUUUUCCAUUAAUGAUUGACGCUCAGAAACGAAGGUGAGGAAAGGAAAUAGGAUUAGAUACCCAGAAUACCCCUCUCUGUCAACGAUGAAUGGUAGUUAUUAGUAAAAAAUUAUUAAUAGCAAUGUUAACACGAUAACCAUUCCGCCUUGUGAGUACAACUGCAAAGUUGAAAACAAAAAAAUUAGUCGGUUUCGGAGCAAACGAAGUGAAGCAUGUUAUUUAAUUCGAUAAUCCGCAA